CCCUUAGAUGUCCUGGGCCGCACGCGCGCUACACUGACAUGUUCAACAAGCCUCCUAGUUCGACAGGAUUUGGGAAAUCUUUGAACGCAUGUCGUGAUAGGGAUAGAUCAUUGCAAUUAUUGAUCUUGAACGAGGAAUUCCUAGUAAACGCGAGUCGUCAGCUCGCAUUGAUUACGUCCCUGCCCUUUGUACACACCGCCCGUCGCACCUACCGAUUGAAUGUUUCGGUGAAGAUUCCGGAUAGGACUUUUUUGAUUUAUUUCAAUUCUGUCUUAAAAGCUAUCUAAACCUCAACAUUUAGAGGAAGGUGAAGUCGUAACA
rnacentral:rRNA from 1 species